GCAAAACCCCAAUCUGGCUCCUACAAAGUGUAUGUGACAAGAUGAUUAACGUUUGCUUUUGUUAAAUCAGGGCUUCCCCAGCCAGGACUUUGGCUCAGACUGUGGCAUAUUCAUGUUGAUGGUAGGUCAUAACGAGCUGUAAUGCACAAAUAUUGUAUCUAGAAUAACUUUCCAACAUGGACUUUUUUAAAGUUAUCUCACAUGUUGUCUCAUAAUUUUUUUUUAAAGUCUGCCAUGUACAUCGUUAUGGAGUCACAGUUUGACUACUCAGUUGUAAGUACUUUUCAACACGCAGUGUCAUCCUCAAGAUUGUAUUUUGUAUUGUGCACUAAAAUGAAAUACAAACAACAAUUUCAGCAUGACAUGCCUGUUUGGCGGCGAUGGUGGUGCCUGUUGCUCCUGGAGAACAAUUCUUUGAACAGGUAGACAGUUUAAGUAAACUAGAUGUCCUAAUUAACUGGAAGACAAUCAAUAUAUUGUACUUAAAGACAUAUUGUCAUUACAGUUGUGGGAAAAUCUUCACCCACUGGACCAAAGAAUGUCAAGAGCUCAUUGCUGGAAAGCAUACUCCGGUCUUCAGUCUAAAGAGGAAGGCAGAGCAGCAGGACAUAGAGGUUAGAAAAUUGCCUUGUAAAAACAGUAUUAUCUCAGUGGGAGUCCUUCAAAAUGCACACAGUUGUAUGGAUCAACAUUGUCUCGAUGUAUUUGGUAAUUGAUGUUACUUUUCAAAUUGCCUUGUCAAGGAAACCAUGACGCAGACGGUAUCGGAUGUCCAAAGAAUGUGCAUGGCAGAUUCAAUGCAAUUCUGUGUCUACCAGACAUCGAACAACACAGGAGAGAGGUGUGUUGCAGACUCAAUUUAAUAAAUGCAAUUAUCGGGGCCUAUUCAGUGAUUUUCCAUGAAGUGACCACUUUUACAUAUAGUUUAAAUGCACGAAUCAUGCAGGAAAAUUAUUUAUACAUUCAAAUGUGCUGCAGAGGUAUAAUCAAUUGGACAGCGUGUUUGUUUAAUAUUAUGUUUGUCUCUCAUUUGAUCAGAUUGCUUUACCCUGAGGUAAACGUCAUAAAAUGGGUCCAGUGCAAGACGUGCAGGGGCUGGCUGCAUCAGGAUUGUGCUGGGAUUGAAAUGGAGCCGUUUGACUGCGGGUGCGAGG
rnacentral:lncRNA from 1 species